rnacentral:rRNA from 1 species
GUUUCGAAUCAUUCACAAUGGGCGAAAGCCUGAUGGUGCGACGCCGCGUGGGGGACGAAGGUCUUCGGAUUGUAAACCCCUGUCACCGGGGACAAAAAGCUGCACGUGAACAGUGUGCAGCCUGAUUUAACCCGGAGAGGAAGCAGUGGCUAACUCUGUGCCAGCAGCCGCGGUAAUACAGAGACUGCAAGCGUUGUUCGGAUUUACUGGGCGUAAAGGGUGCGCAGGCGGCCGGAUGUGUCGGGUGUGAAAGUUCGAGGCUCAACCUCGAAACUGCGCCCGAAACUAUUCGGCUAGAGUACUGGAGAGGGAAGCGGAAUUCACGGUGUAGCAGUGAAAUGCGUAGAUAUCGUGAGGAACACCAGUGGCGAAGGCGGCUUCCUGGACAGUUACUGACGCUCAGGCACGAAAGCGUGGGGAGCAAAAGGGAUUAGAAACCCCAGUAGUCC